AAUAUUUCAUAAAUUGGAAAUAUGCGAUGUGUGGUCUUUGUUCACUGAGUAUAAUGUUUUCAAGGUUCAUCCACAUCAUAGUGAGUAUCAGUGCUUUGAUCCUCUGUUAUGGCUGCAUAGUAUUCCAUUGUGUGGAAGGACCACAUUUGUGUAUCCAUUCAUCUGCUGAUGUGCAUUAAGUUGCUUCCAACUCUUGGCAACUGGGCAUCAUGCUGCUGUGAGCCUGCAUGCACGUAUAUUUGUCAGGGUACCAGACCUCCAGACGUUGGGAGAUCACAUGGAAUACAACUGAAGCUUUAUUGGGGUGUGCUGGAGGGGGGCUCAGUUGGGACAGCCAAAGACGAUCAUGCUCUCUCUGAAGCUGGCCAGGUCCCUGCACAGCUUCUUGUUCUCAUCAUCUUGGCAUUCGUCCGCUUCAGGCCACAGCUCUACCCAGGUGUCCUUCCCGAUGAUGUACUUGAUG